rnacentral:rRNA from 1 species
CUAGGCAAAUUAACGCUGUAACUUCGGGAUAAAGCGUACCAUCGCGAGAUGGUCACAGUAAAAUGGUACAACCAACUGUUUAACAAAAACACAGGGCCCUGCAAAAACGUAAGUUGACGUAUAGAGCCUGAAACCUGCCCGGUGCUGGAAGGUUAAGGAAGGGUGUUCGACGCAAGUCAAAGCUCCUGAUCCGAAGCCCCAGUAAACGGCGGCCGUAACAAUAACGGUCCUAAGGUAGCGAAAUUCCUUGUCGGGUAAGUUCCGACCUGCACGAAUGGUCUAAUGAGUUGUACACUGUCUCCUCCACGAGCCCCGGUGAAAUUGUAGUAUCGGUGAAGAUGCCGGUUACCCGCCACGGGACGGAAAGACCCCGUGAACCUUCACUACAACUUUGCAUUGAUUUUGAGCAACAAAUGUGUAGGAUAGUUGGGAGACUUUGAAGCAGUGUCGCCAGGCAUUGUGGAGUCAUCGUUGAAAUACCAACCUUUUGUUGCUUAGAACCUAACCCUGAACAAGGGGACAUUGCAUGGUGGGUAGUUUGACUGGGG